ensembl:lncRNA LINC01010 long intergenic non-protein coding RNA 1010
AAACAGGCUGGGGCAGGCAAGACUUCCUGAAAGGGAUGAGGCCUGCACCAAGCCAGCUAGACAAAACCUAAAGUGUGUGGACCCCAACCACUCCUACAACCAUAUGCUGCAGCUAUUCAAGCCUUUGUCCUAUGUCUGGAGACUUCUUGGAAGCUGGAGCACACAAAUAGCUACAGCAAACUUGAGGAAUGGGCAUGAAUAGACUGGCUUCGGGGAACCUGCCAGCUUGGCCGUGUGGCCAAGGUAAUAGGCAAGCCAAGGCAGAGCUAGAGCUCAGAGCUGGAGGGGAAAUUAAAGCAGCAAAUGUAGAAACAUUAAGCCUGAAGAGGCGACGACGUUGAAUUCUAAAAUGCAGGCCAAAGCUCAGACUGCAAGCUGUCUGGCUGCUCCGGGUGUGCCCAGAAGUCAAAGUCCAGCAGGGGCAAAGGUGGAGGUGUGGUCCUGCACGUGGGGUGUUGGGGGGAUGUGGAAGAGGAGGUGCUUUAAGAUCCAGAGAUUCCAGCUGCCCUGGUGCACCCUUGGAAGAAUAAAAGGCUAGGAACUGGACAAGUCAGGCUCGAGUCCAAGCUGCCUGAGGAAUCGGGGAAAGAAUGGAGCUCAGAGUGGGAGGUCAGGGCAGUAUUUAAAAAUCCAGGAUAGCAGCAAAGCUGGCGGUGGCCCCUGACUCUGGUAAGGGCAGCCUGCAGCACCAUGCCAAGGGGGGCCUGACUGAUCAUGCCCUGCAUUUGCAAACAAGGAUUAGUAGGGUAUGAGUAGGAUUCUGCUGGUGCCUGGGAAGGCAGUGCCAUCUACAACUUUACAAAGUUUUAACAAAGGCCUGAAGGACACAACCUUCCCCAAAGUCCUGACGUCGCUGUUUGCUGGCAACAAAUAGAGUCAAAAGAAGAGAGGCACAGAAUGUGCCAGGGGUGUGCUGCGUACAGCCCCGAUGACCACAAGGCCUUCUUGGGUCAAGUUCUGCCAUCUCUGGUUAAGAUGGGCUCACCCUCUAGGACCCUGAUUGAGUCCUCGGACCACCAAGAGUGCCCCACCAAGAGCCUCCCUCUUCUGGUGACUCGUGCCUGCUUCCCGUGGAGAGCUCCAGAAGGGAGGAAACUGUGAGGAGGUGGAGAACGUGGCAGGGAUCCUAACUUUCUUACUGAAGGAAGUUCUUCACAAGUACCCAUCUGCCUUCAGGGAAGAAAACAUAACUCAUUUUGGUCUUUCAAAUUCAGUUCUCAAAACCAAAUCCUGUUGUCAGCAAUCUGUGUCCCAACGCCUUCUUCAGCAACAGCAUUUUCCCUGUGGAAUUAGUUUCCAAUGUUCUUUCUUAAAUAAACCACUGAAGAUUAAAA